rnacentral:rRNA from 1 species
UGAAAUGCGCAGAUAUCAGGAGGAACACCGAUGGCGAAGGCAGGUUACUGGGCAGUUACUGACGCUGAGGAGCGAAAGCAUGGGUAGCGAACAGGAUUAGAUACCCUGGUAGUCCAUGCCGUAAACGGUGGGCGCUAGGUGUGAGGGUCUUUUCACGACUUUCGUGCCGUAGCUAACGCAUUAAGCGCCCCGCCUGGGGAGUACGGCCGCAAGGCUAAAACUCAAAGGAAUUGACGGGGGCCCGCACAAGCGGCGGAGCAUGUGGAUUAAUUCGAUGCAACGCGAAGAACCUUACCUGGGCUUGACAUACACCGGAUCGGGCUAGAGAUAGUCUUUCCCUUUGUGGCUGGUGUACAGGUGGUGCAUGGUUGUCGUCAGCUCGUGUCGUGAGAUGUUGGGUUAAGUCCCGCAACGAGCGCAACCCUUGUCUUAUGUUGCCAGCAUUUGGUUGGGGACUCAUGAGAGACUGCCGGGGUCAACUCGGAGGAAGGUGGGGAUGACGUCAAAUCAUCAUGCCCCUUAUGUCCAGGGCUUCACACAUGCUACAAUGGUCGGUACAACGCGCAGCGACACUGUGAGGUGGAGCGAAUCGCUGAAAGCCGGCCUUAGUUCGGAUUGGGGUCUGCAACUCGACCCCAUGAAGUCGGAGUCGCUAGUAAUCGCAGAUCAGCAACGCUGCGGUGAAUACGUUCCCGGGCCUUGUACACACCGCCCGUCACGUCAUGAAAGUUGGUAACACCCGAAGCCGGUGGCCCAAACUUGUUAGGGAGCCGUCGAAGGUGGGAUCGGCGAUUGGGACGAAGUCGUAACAAGGUACCCGUACCGGAAGGUGUGGCUGGAUCACCUCCUU